AGUGAACGCUGGCGGUAGGCCUAACACAUGCAAGUCGAACGGCAGCACAGUAAGAGCUUGCUCUUACGGGUGGCGAGUGGCGGACGGGUGAGGAAUACAUCGGAAUCUACUUUUUCGUGGGGGAUAACGUAGGGAAACUUACGCUAAUACCGCAUACGACCUAUGGGUGAAAGCAGGGGAUCUUCGGACCUUGCGCGAUUGAAUGAGCCGAUGUCGGAUUAGCUAGUUGGCGGGGUAAAGGCCCACCAAGGCGACGAUCCGUAGCUGGUCUGAGAGGAUGAUCAGCCACACUGGAACUGAGACUCGGUCCAGACUCCUACGGGAGGCAGCGGUGGGGAAUAUUGGACGAUGGGGGCAAGCCUGAUCCAGCCAUACCGCGUGGGUGAAGAAGGCCUUCGGGUUGUAAAGCCCUUUUGUUGGGAAAGAAAAGCAGCAGGUUAAUACCCCGCUAUUCUGACGGUACCCAAAGAAUAAGCACCGGCUAACUUCGUG
rnacentral:rRNA from 1 species